rnacentral:lncRNA from 1 species
GAUAAGCAGUGCAUAUGUCCACACCAGGGAUCCAAACCGGUGAACCCUGGGCCGCUCAAGUGGAGCUUGCAAACUUAACUGCUACGCCACCAGAUUAUGACUACAGAGGAUUCUGAUUCAGGGAGGCAGAUCUCGGUUUUGACACUCUGGAUUCCACUCUUGCGCCAGAGUUUACGUGGUGGUUUGCCCUGCCAGCUCAGUUCUGUGAGGAGUCUAAAAUAUAGGUGGAUUCAGUUUUUCCAGCGUUUUCUUGUUUUAAGGAUGGGAUUGGUGAUCUCUGCCCUCUCUAUAUGUUGGGGCUGAAACCAGAAGCUUUAUUUGUGACCAUUUUUGAAAUAUGCCACAAUCAGUAUAAGCCUAUGAGUUUCAAAUAUCAUGCUUCUGGAUAGACUGCAGCGUAUUCACCGCCAAAAGUCUAGUGGCCAUCCAUCAUCAUACACACGUGCCCCUUUACCCCUUUCGCCCUCCCCCCACCUCCCUACCCCACUUGUAACCACCAAUCUGUUCUCUGUAUCUAUGUGAUAUUUUUUCUUUGUAAACAAACAACCCGAUUAAAAAAUGGGCAGAGGAUCUGAAUUUUUCCAAAGGAGAUAUACAGAUAGCUGAUAGGCAUGUGAGAAGAUGUUCAACAUCACUAAUUAUUAGGGAAAUGCAAAUCAAAACCACAAUGAGAUAUUACCCCACGCCUGCCUGUCAGCUGGCUAUUAU